rnacentral:lncRNA from 1 species
AUGUGUCAGAUUGCUUUAAUUCUUACCUUGUCUAGUGGUCCAAUUCAGUUCACGAGGUACAAUAUAAGUAAUACAUUUCCUGCGUGUGCCCUACAUUCAGUGCUACUGAUGUGCAUUGUGAAGCUGUUGAUUACAGUGGCUGCGCUAGUGGUCAGCGGCGGCUUGUCGGCUCCUCUCUCUCGUCUGAACUUUGAGAAGGGCGACUUGCUCAAGACGAGUAGGCUGGGGUUCCGGGUCUGGAAGCGCUUCAAUUUGCCGCCCCAUCAUUACUAUUACGCCCUCUCGGACCACGAGAUCUUCUCGACGACCGCGGAGCCCCAAACAGAGUAUCAUCCGGACGGGGUAACCAAGAGGACCAAGCUCCGAUCCGUCUUGUACACCCUUGACGUCAAAACCCCUCAAAAAGAAUUCGACUCCAUCCUCAUGACGAAAGCCCGGGUCCAGGGGGCCCCCAUCGGGGACGCGGGCAUCGCCCUGGCGCGCAGGAUGAGCCAGAUGACCCUCUUCUACCACACCACGCGCUGCAACAACUACCACUACAUUGAUUACGUCGUCCACGGCAAGACUUUCGGCAGGUGGUGGAAGCCGCUAUACUGGCCGAAGCACCCCGAGUGCCCGGUCCACCUCGUCAUCGAACCUGGGACGAAUGUUGGCGAUCCCAAUAAGCCUCGAUAUGUCACAUCGUUGAAGAAGAAGAAGGGAGAAAUCAUGCUACCUGACCUGAAAACACCUUGAAUCGUGAAUGAGAUCUGUGUCAGCUCAUUGAUGAAU